rnacentral:rRNA from 1 species
GACGAACGCUGGCGGCGUGCUUAACACAUGCAAGUCGAACGAUGAUGCCCAGCUUGCUGGGUGGAUUAGUGGCGAACGGGUGAGUAACACGUGAGUAACCUGCCCCUGACUCUGGGAUAAGCGUUGGAAACGACGUCUAAUACUGGAUAUGACUGCCGGCCGCAUGGUCUGGUGGUGGAAAGAUUUUUUGGUUGGGGAUGGAUUCGCGGCCUAUCAGCUUGUUGGUGAGGUAAUGGCUCACCAAGGCGACGACGGGUAGCCGGCCUGAGAGGGUGACCGGCCACACUGGGACUGAGACACGGCCCAGACUCCUACGGGAGGCAGCAGUGGGGAAUAUUGCACAAUGGGCGAAAGCCUGAUGCAGCAACGCCGCGUGAGGGAUGACGGCCUUCGGGUUGUAAACCUCUUUUAGUAGGGAAGAAGCGUAAGUGACGGUACCUGCAGAAAAAGCACCGGCUAACUACGUGCCAGCAGCCGCCGUAA